rnacentral:rRNA from 1 species
UAAGGAAUAUUGGUCAAUGGACGCAAGUCUGAACCGGCCAUGCCGCGUGAAGGAUGAAGGUCCUCUGGAUUGUAAACUUCUUUUAUCUGGGACGAAAACGGGAUUUUUAUCUCAAUUGACGGUACCAGAGGAAUAAGCACCGGCUAACUCCGUGCCAGCAGCCGCGGUAAUACGGAGGGUGCGAGCGUUAUCCGGAUUUACUGGGUUUAAAGGGUGCGUAGGUGGGCUUAUAAGUCAGUGGUGAAAUCUCCGAGCUUAACUUGGAAACUGCCGUUGAUACUAUAGGUCUUGAAUUAUCUGGAGGUAAGCGGAAUAUGUCAUGUAGCGGUGAAAUGCUUAGAUAUGACAUAGAACACCAAUUGCGAAGGCAGCUUACUACAUAUAAAUUGACGCUGAGGCACGAAAGCGUGGGGAUCAAACA